UGGGGAAUAUUGGACAAUGGGCGCAAGCCUGAUCCAGCAAUGCCGCGUGUGUGAAGAAGGCCUGCGGGUUGUAAAGCACUUUCAGUUGGGAGGAAGGCCUUGGUUCUAAUAGAGCUGAGGAUUGACGUUACCGACAGAAGAAGCACCGGCUAACUCUGUGCCAGCAGCCGCGGUAAUACAGAGGGUGCGAGCGUUAAUCGGAAUUACUGGGCGUAAAGGGCGCGUAGGUGGUUAUUUAAGUUAGAGGUGAAAUCCCUGGGCUUAACCUGGGAAUUGCCUAUAGUACUGGAUAGCUAGAGUUUGGGAGAGGGAAGUGGAAUUUCCGGUGUAGCGGUGAAAUGCGUAGAUAUCGGAAGGAACACCAGUGGCGAAGGCGACUUCCUGGCCCGAUACUGACACUGAGGCGCGAAAGCGUGGGGAGCGAACAGGAUUAGAUACCCCCGUAGUCC
rnacentral:rRNA from 1 species